CUCAUGUUGGCGUUCUGUCGGUUACUCCUCGGUUCCCUCAUGUUGAUGUUCUGUCGGUUCCCUCAUGUUGAUGUUCUGUCGGUUCCUCCUCGGUUCCCUCAUGUUGACGUUCUGUCGGUUCCUCCUCGGUUCCCUCAUGUUGACGUUCUGUCGGUUACUCCUCGGUUCCCUCAUGUUGACGUUCUGUCAGUCCCCUCACGUUGAUGUUCUGUCAGGUUUCUCCUCAGUUCCCUCAUGUUGACGUUCUGUCAGUUCCCUCAUGUUGACGUUCUGUCAGGUUUCUCCUCAGUUCCCUCAUGUUUACGUUCUGUCAGGUUCCUUCAUGUUGACAUUCUAUCAGGUUUCUCCUCAGUUCCCUCAUGUUGACGUUCUGUCAGGUUCCUUCAUGUUGACGUUCUGUCAGGUUUCUCCUCAGUUCCCUCAUGUUGACGUUCUGUCAGGUUCCUUCAUGUUGACGUUCUAUCAGGUUUCUCCUCAGUUCCUUCAUGUUGACGUUCUAUCAGGUUUCUCCUCAGUUCCCUCAUGUUGACGUUCUGUCAGGUUCCUUCAUGUUGACGUUCUAUCAGGUUUCUCCUCAGUUCCCUCAUGUUGACGUUCUGUCAGGUUCCUUCAUGUUGACGUUCUAUCAGGUUUCUCCUCAGUUCCCUCAUGUUGAUGUUCUGUCAGGUUCCUUCAUGUUGACGUUCAGUCAGGUUCCUCCUGGGUUCUCCUGCAGCUCCUCUGAAAGCUUCCUUGUGUUCCUGCUGGCAGCCUGGGUUCCAUGUGACGGAACGUGUUCCUGUUGAGGUUCUAGUUUCAGAGGAAAAGUGUCAGCAUUUGGCUCCGUGGCUCGUCCCAGCGCGCACGUGUGAAGGAGGCGGGGCCACCGGGAGCUUUUCCCAUCAUUAGUGCACGUGAAGAAGCUCAGAGCUCCGCCCACUUCCUGUGACAUCACUGCUGCACAGAUCCAACGACAUGUGACCUCAUAGAUGAACACACACACACAGAGACACACAACAUGAACAGAAAAAACACAAAACUUCCUCGAAAUCAUGCAAAAUGUACACAAACACUAAACAACGACAGUUCAGUUAAUUUCUCCAGCGUUCCAGAACCCUGUGUGGUUCUGCAGCUUAGAUCCUGCAUUUAUAAAUGUAAAGACAGCAGCUGAACCUUCAUUCCUGCCAGUUGAAAGUAAAUGUUGGAUCUGCAGGUCAAACCGCUGCUGACUGCGAAA
ensembl:lncRNA